GCUAUCGAGGUUCGACUAAGCCAUGCGAGUCGAAUGUAGCAAUACAUGGCGAACUGCUCAGUAACACGUGGACAACCUGCCCUUAGGUUGGGUAUAAACCCGGGAAACUGGGUAUAAUACCCGAUAGGUCUCGAUUGCUGGAAUGCAUCGAGAUUUAAAGCUCCGGCGCCUAAGGAUGGGUCUGCGGCCUAUCAGGUAGUAGUGGGUGUAGCGUACCUACUAGCCUACGACGGGUACGGGUUGUGAGAGCAAGAGCCCGGAGAUGGAUUCUGAGACACGAAUCCAGGCCCUACGGGGUGCAGCAGGCGCGAAAACUUUACAAUGCUGGCAACAGCGAUAAGGGAACCUCGAGUGCCAGGUUACAAAUCUGGCUGUCGAGAUGCCUAAAAAGCAUUUCAUAGCAAGGGCCGGGCAAAGACCGGUGCCAGCCGCCGCGGUAACACCGGCGGCUCGAGUGGUAACCGUUAUUAUUGGGUCUAAAGGGGUCUGUAGCCGGCCGGAUAAGUCUCUUGAGAAUCUGGCAGCUU
rnacentral:rRNA from 1 species